UGGGUAACCUGCCUCAAAGAGGGGGAUAGCCUCCCGAAAGGGAGAUUAAUACCGCAUAAUAUGUUUAGGUCGCAUGACUUUAACAUCAAAGGAUUUUCUUUUAGAAAUUCCACUUUGAGAUGGACCCGCGGCGCAUUAGCUAGUUGGUGAGGUAACGGCUCACCAAGGCAACGAUGCGUAGCCGACCUGAGAGGGUGAUCGGCCACAUUGGAACUGAGACACGGUCCAGACUCCGUAGGGAGG
rnacentral:rRNA from 1 species